AACGAACGCUGGCGGCAGGCCUAACACAUGCAAGUCGAACGCACCGCAAGGUGAGUGGCGGACGGGUGAGUAACACGUGGGAACGUGCCUUUAGGUUCGGAAUAACUCAGGGAAACUUGUGCUAAUACCGAAUGUGCCCUUCGGGGGAAAGAUUUAUCGCCUUUAGAGCGGCCCGCGUCUGAUUAGCUAGUUGGUGAGGUAAAGGCUCACCAAGGCUACGAUCAGUAGCUGGUCUGAGAGGAUGACCAGCCACAUUGGGACUGAGACACGGCCCAAACUCCUACGGGAGGCAGCAGUGGGGAAUCUUGCGCAAUGGGCGAAAGCCUGACGCAGCCAUGCCGCGUGGAUGAUGAAGGUCUUAGGAUUGUAAAAUCCUUUCACCGGUGAAGAUAAUGACUGUAGCCGGAGAAGAAGCCCCGGCUAACUUCGUGCCAGCAGCCGCCGUAACAC
rnacentral:rRNA from 1 species